CUACGGCAGCGGUUACCUAUGGCAACGAAAACCACUACUGUAAGUAGGACCUAUGGUAGUAGUUAUCCGUUACCGUUGCAGUAGGCCUAACCUAGGGCAGCAGUUAUGAAUAACCACUGCCAUAGGUCGGAUCUACUGCAGCAGUUACAGUAACUGCUACCAUAGGUGUUACUUACAGUAGUGGUUACAAAUAACCGCUAUCAUAGGUCGGAUCUACGAUAGUGGUUGCGGAUAUCCACAGCAAU
rnacentral:lncRNA from 1 species